CGUAAAUAUCGAAACCAAAACUAAAGACAUCAAACGGUAUAGAAUGCUAUUUAAAUAGCACUCAGUUGUUGCAGCGUUUGGGAAGCUGAAGCUCGCUGAUAGAUGAGACUUUGCUUAUUGGUGUUUUUGAAGGACUAUGACUCAUGACGAUGCCCAUGAUUUUGUGCGUCAAUUAGCAACACUGACCGUUUGUUUGGAACGUCCGAUGUGCAGCCCUUUUUAAACACAAGCAUGUUCUAUUGCGCCAGAGCCGAGCCGACGAAGGAACACACCGAAUGAUAUUUAGCGAUUCCUAAAUACAAGCUGGGAUGUUCCUAGGAAUAGCGCUGUUCUUCUCAAUGUGCUUUUUAUAUAUUUCAGAAUUACAAACCCAUUGUGCGAGUUAAUGUAGGUCCAAGGCCGACGCGUACGACUGAUAAUAGAACUGGUUGAUAACGAUAUCUGCUUUUCCGGGGCCAUCGGUUAAGAGAUUCUGGGAGUGCGUUAUUCCAGCCGACGAAUCAGGAAGGCUCUCUCUCAGUCGACCCUCGGUCAGGAAUGUCACGCAGCGUUGAAAAACGUACGGUUGAUUUACACUAUGCGAUUAAUAGUUGCGAGAAGUCACCUGUUCAUUCGUUAAAAAAGGUCGUCGUUUGCCACAUGACUGAAAAGAAAGUGACAAUACCAUCAGGGACAUUGAAGCGUCCAUCGUAUAUAUUCG